AUUGAACGCUGGCGGCAGGCCUAACACAUGCAAGUCGAGCGGAUGAAGGGAGCUUGCUCCUGGAUUCAGCGACGGACGGGUGAGUAAUGCCUAGGAAUCUGCCUGGUAGUGGGGGAUAACGUCCGGAAACGGGCGCUAAUACCGCAUACGUCCUGAGGGAGAAAGUGGGGGAUCUUCGGACCUCACGCUAUCAGAUGAGCCUAGGUCGGAUUAGCUAGUUGGUGGGGUAAAGGCCUACCAAGGCGACGAUCCGUAACUGGUCUGAGAGGAUGAUCAGUCACACUGGAACUGAGACACGGUCCAGACUCCUACGGGAGGCAGCAGUGGGGAAUAUUGGACAAAGGGCGAAAGCCUGAUCCAGCCAUGCCGCGUGUGUGAAGAAGGUCUUCGGAUUGUAAAGCACUUUAAGUUGGGAGGAAGGGCAGUAAGUUAAUACCUUGCUGUUUUGACGUUACCAACAGAAUAAGCACCGGCUAACUUCGUG
rnacentral:rRNA from 1 species